rnacentral:lncRNA from 1 species
AGAUGAUUCUAAAGCACAGCAAAGUUGAGACACUAAAUGCUGGGCGUGGGUACGAGCAAUGCUGCCAUCAUUUCAAUUGCGGGCUGGGCCAAAUCUUUGUGCUCAGCAAAGACCUUUUCACCAGGGGCGUGAAUAGAGGUAAGUGAGGUGGCCACUUUCUCCCAGCCCAGUUUGGUUCCUACCCAAAGGGGCAUCGCAGUGCUGUGGCUCUGCUCUGUGUGCAGGAAUGUCUUCCCUGAAGGCAUGGAGAUCCACGGAGGGUUGUGCUCUCUUGAGUUGGUGAAUAAAUAAUCAAGGACAUUCUUUAGCUGAAUGGUACCUCUGAGCAGGAAGUGUGGUCCUACCACAGCAGGUCUUGUUUGAAUGGCUGUAUGGAUUUUGCAUGAAUCACCCCUGUCCAACGCUGGAGACACCCUUUCCAGAAGAUCCUGAUUCCAGUCUGCAUCCAUCAACCAGUUGCAAGGCUCUUGGAAGCAUCUCUGGGCUUUUGAGCGAUUUCACUCGACCAGAAAACCCAGUGGCUGGACUGAGGAGCAGUCAUGAGACGGAAGCCACGGCAGAUGGAAGCUGGACAUUGCUUUGAUCAGAUGCUCAAGUGACAGGGGACGAGAGCUACCACCUCCAACUUUCCACAAGCUCUUGCUUGCAGUGCCCAUGUCAGGGCUGAGAUGCUUGCUUAAGGGCAAAGCACUCGCUCCUUCCCUUGAAGCGUGACAUAAGCUGUUCUCGAAUGUGGUUUGUCAAGUCGAGUAAGCUCACCUCCAGUCCUUAUCCCCUGGAGAUUUCCUCCAGGAAAAGAUGCAAAAGAUGCCGAGAACCCAGUGAGUGCCUUCUGCAGCCCAGAGAGAACUCUUUCAGAAGAAGAAACAUCUGUUUUCUACUUUAGUUGUUUGUUUGCUGUGUUACAAAGAUUGAACCCAGGACCUCAAGUAUGCUAGGCGAGAGUUCUGCCACUAUGCUAUGACACCUGGAUCUCCCCCAUGGGACAUACUUAGCCAUUUAGAAUGCUUCAAGACCCAUGGAGACAGCCUGGGCUAGCCCUUGCACAACUCCCAUUUGAGUGGUAAUUUGCUUUUGUUAAGAUUUCAGAAAUGAA